rnacentral:tRNA from 1 species
UCGGGGAUCGUCCAAUGGCAGGACAACGGACUUUGAAUCCGUGAAUCGAGGUUCGACCCCUCGUCCCCGAG